rnacentral:rRNA from 1 species
CCUACGGGAGGCUGCAGUGGGGAAUAUUGCACAAUGGGGGAAACCCUGAUGCAGCGACGCCGCGUGAGUGAAGAAGUAUUUCGGUAUGUAAAGCUCUAUCAGCAGGGAAGAAAAUGACGGUACCUGCUUAAGAAGCCCCGGCUAACUACGUGCCAGCAGCCGCGGUAAUACGUAGGGGGCAAGCGGUAUCCGGAUGUACUGGGUGUAAAGUGAGCGUAGACGGCAGCACAAGUCUGGAGUGAAAUGCCGGGGCUUAACCCCGGAACUGCUUUGGAAACUGUGCAGCUAGAGUGCAGGAGAGGUAAGUGGAAUGCCUAGUGUAGCGGUGAAAUGCGUAGAUAUUAGGAGGAACACCAGUGGCGAAGGCGGCUUACUGGACUGUAACUGACGUUGAGGCUCGAAAGCGUGGGGAGCAAACAGGAUUAGAUACCCUUGUAGUC